rnacentral:rRNA from 1 species
AGGACGAACGCUGGCGGCGUGCUUAACACAUGCAAGUCGAGCGAGGCCCCUCCUUCGGGAGGGUGUCCUAGCGGCGAACGGGUGAGUAACACGUGGGCAACCUGCCCUCAGCUCUGGGAUAACCCCGGGAAACCGGGGCUAAUACCGGAUACGACCUCCACGGGCAUCUGCGGAGGUGGAAAGCUCCGGCGGUCAAGGAUGGGCUCGCGGCCUAUCAGCUUGUUGGUGAGGUAACGGCUCACCAAGGCUUCGACGGGUA